GAUGAGCGCUGGCGGCGUGCCUAAUACAUGCAAGUCGAGCGAACAGAUGAGGAGCUUGCUCCUCUGACGUUAGCGGCGGACGGGUGAGUAACACGUGGAUAACCUACCUAUAAGACUGGGAUAACUUCGGGAAACCGGAGCUAAUACCGGAUAAUAUAUUGAACCGCAUGGUUCAAUAGUGAAAGACGGUUUUGCUGUCACUUAUAGAUGGAUCCGUGCCGCAUUAGCUAGUUGGUAAGGUAACGGCUUACCAAGGCAACGAUGCGUAGCCGACCUGAGAGGGUGAUCGGCCACACUGGAACUGAGACACGGUCCAGACUCCUACGGGAGGCAGCAGUAGGGAAUCUUCCGCAAUGGGCGAAAGCUUGACGGAGCAACGCCGCGUGAGUGAUGAAGGUCUUCGGAUCGUAAAACUCUGUUAUUAGGGAAGAACAAAUGUGUAAGUAACUAUGCACGUCUUGACGGUACCUAAUCAGAAAGCCACGGCUAACUACGUG
rnacentral:rRNA from 1 species